CGGGAAGAGCACAAAUUUUAAAUCUACCUGGUUUUACUAGGUCGAGUUGUAAUUUGAAGAAACGUUUUUAAUGUUCCGGGUUGGUUUAAAUCCUUUGGGAUAAGGUAUCAUGGAGGGUGAGAAUCCCGUGUAUAUCAACCGCUGGGAUGUUAUUAAUACGUUCUCUAA
rnacentral:rRNA from 1 species